UACGAAGGGAGCUAGCGUUGUUCGGAAUCACUGGGCGUAAAGCGCACGUAGGCGGAUGUGUCAGUCAGGGGGUGAAAUCCCGGAGCUCAACUUCGGAACUGCCUUUGAUACAGCACGUCUUGAGUCCGAUAGAGGUGGGUGGAAUUCCUAGUGUAGAGGUGAAAUUCGUAGAUAUUAGGAAGAACACCCGUGGCGAAGGCGGCUCUCUGGGACGGUACUGACGCUGAGACGCGAAAGCGUGGGGAGCGAACAGG
rnacentral:rRNA from 1 species